AAAAUCCGUCGACUUUAAAAAUCUGAGGGUUCAAGUCCCUCUAUCCCC
rnacentral:tRNA from 1 species